rnacentral:lncRNA from 1 species
AUUUUACUUAUAAAUGGACUUAGUUUUUUUCAGUUAACAUUACAUACAGUCUGCAGUUAAAGUUUAUAAAACAUUUAUUAGAUUCAUAAACUAUCCUUGAUUUUUUUACCAAACUUGGAAGCUUCUUUCAAUCAAAAGACAGUAUCGAGAGGGAAAUUUUUAUUGAUGUUUUUCCUCAUUUUUGUUGAGUCUGCAAUUAACAGCAAAAGUAGGCGAGACACUGGGUUCCGUGGAACCCUUACGAAUUUUUUUUUAAUUUUUUUUUUUUUAAUUAUUUUUAGUCAUUAUAUAGUAAUAUAGUGUAAAUAGUGAACACCUGUUGAAAACCCAAGA